rnacentral:rRNA from 1 species
UACGUAGGGCGCAAGCGUUGUCCGGAAUUAUUGGGCGUAAAGAGCUCGUAGGCGGUCUGUUACGUCCGCUGUGAAAACCCAGGGCUUAACCCUGGGCUUGCAGUGGAUACGGGUAGACUAGAGGCAGGUAGGGGAGACUGGAAUUCCUGGUGUAGCGGUGAAAUGCGCAGAUAUCAGGAGGAACACCGAUGGCGAAGGCAGGUCUCUGGGCCACUACUGACGCUGAGAAGCGAAAGCAUGGGGAGCGAACAGG